rfam:Drosophila pseudoobscura pseudoobscura strain MV2-25 chromosome 2, whole genome shotgun sequence.
ACGGAAUUUUACGUAUUCAUCCGUUUUGUCUGUAUCGCGAAGUUUGGAGUCGUUUUUGUUGAAGCGAUUCCACGCAUUUUUUGAGUGCUGAUAUUUUGGCUUGAAAAUAAGAGGCCGU